UUUCGAUGGACCUGAGUUGGGGGCUUUA
rnacentral:sRNA from 1 species